GACGAACGCUGGCGGCGUGCUUAACACAUGCAAGUCGAACGGAAAGGCCCUGCUUUUGUGGGGUGCUCGAGUGGCGAACGGGUGAGUAACACGUGAGUAACCUGCCCUUGACUUUGGGAUAACUUCAGGAAACUGGGGCUAAUACCGGAUAGGAGCUCCUGCUGCAUGGUGGGGGUUGGAAAGUUUCGGCGGUUGGGGAUGGACUCACGGCUUAUCAGCUUGUUGGUGGGGUAGUGGCUUACCAAGGCUUUGACGGGUAGCCGGCCUGAGAGGGUGACCGGCGAGAGUGGGAUUGAGAUAAGACACAGACGAAUAUGGGAGGAACGAGGGGGGAGGAGGGUACAAGGGGAGGAGGGAGGAACUCGCAACGCCGAGUGGGGGAUGAGGGGAUGGGGGUGGGAAAGAAAAGCCGCGUGCGAAGAAGAGAGAAUGACGGUAAUUGAUAAAGAAGCAACGGCUAACUACGUG
rnacentral:rRNA from 1 species